rnacentral:rRNA from 1 species
CAGCGCGAAGAUCCUUAACCAGGGGCUGGACAUGCCGGUAGUACCAACCUGAAAGGGAAGGGAUCCCGCAAGGGAAGCCGGCACAGGUGGUGCAUGGCUGUCGUCAGCUCGUGUUGUGAGAUGUUGGGUUAAGUCCCGCAACGAGCGCAACCCUCACCCUUGGUUGCCAUCGGGUUAUGCCGGGCACUAUGAGGGAACUGCCCCGGUCAACGGGGAGGAAGGCGGGGACGGCGUCAAGUCAUCAUGCCCCUUAGGCCCUGGGCUACACACGUGAUACGAUGGCCGGUACAGAGGGCUGCAAACCCGCGAGGGGGAGCUAAUCCCACAAAGCCGGUCUAAGUUCAGAUUGCAGGCUGCAAUUCGCCUGCAUGAAGGAGGAAUCGCUAGUAACCGCGCAUCAGCAAGGCGCGGUGAAUACGUUCCCGGGCCUUGUACACACCGCCCGUCACACCACGGAAGCCGGCUGUACUCGAAGUCAAUGGGCUAACCCGCAAGGGGGGCAAGUGCCGAACGUUUUUAUGAAGGUGGGUUGAAGUUGUAACAAGGA